CCUACGGGUGGCAGCAGUAGGGAAUCUUUCACAAUGGGCGAAAGCCUGAUGAGCAACGCCGCGUGCAGGAUGAAGGCCUUCGGGUUGUAAACUGCUUUUAUAAGCGAGAAAUAUGAUGGUAACUUAUGAAUAAGGAUCGGCUAACUACGUGUCAGCAGCCGCGGUCAUACGUAGGAUCCGAGCAUUAUCCGGGGUGACUGGGUGUAAAGAGUUUCGUAGGUGGCAUAAUAAGUAGCUAGUGAAAUCUGGUUGCUCAACCAUUCAGACUAUUAGCUAAACUGUUAAGCUCGAGACCGUUAGCGGUAACCGGAAUGUAUAGUGUAGGAGUGAAAUCCGUAGAUAUCAGAAAGAACACCGAUUGCGUAGGCAGGUUACUGGGACGGUUCUGACACUAAGGCACGAAAGCGUAGGGAGCAAACGGGAUUAGAUACCCGUGUAGUC
rnacentral:rRNA from 1 species